rnacentral:lncRNA from 1 species
ACUGCCCAACUGCCACUGCCCAGCCUGAUGGCUCCACAUCUCAGGAGUAGGCUCUGAUUCCUUGGGGCCCCAGGAGCCUCUCAGGAGUCUACAUCCCAAGAUGUUCUAACUUCCAGAGUCUCCAAGCCCAUCAAGAGCAAGUUUUGCUAAAAGUGUUCUGAGAGCUUAUGAAGCACAUGGACAAGGAAGGGUUGUGCAUCCGGCUUUCCACCUUAAACUGGUUUCUAUGGUGCUUCAUCGAUGAGAUAAGGAUGCAUAGGAGACCCCAGGCCAGGAGUUCCUUCAGGACACACUGUCCUAGGCCUGGGCCCUGGAGGAGGACAUGGUGAUGAGGCACCCUGAGGCCUCCAUGGGGGAACUGAGAAGCAUGCACUGUGACCUGCACACCCAGCCAAACCUGAGCAAGCACCCCCACCACCCAGGCCUCUGCAGAUAUCCCCCAGCAUUGAGACCCUCCCCAAGGGGAUGGGCUGCUUCUCCCUGGCCCACAGCCCAGCUCCAGCAGCCCAUGGGUAUAGCCCUCCUGAAACAGGAGCCUCAUCCUCCCUCACCCUCACCUGGCUAUGCUGUACCCAAGGCCAAAGCCCAGAGGCAUAAGGGAGCUUCUGCAGAGCCCAGGACAGCAGGCUGCUCUCUGGGGGCCCUGGGGACUCAGAGUGUGGCCAGCCCAUCCCCAGCUCAGGAUAGACCACAGAGUGCUUGGUGAUUCCUGCAUUGGAACUCCCUCUCUAAGCUCCCCAUGGACCUGGACCUCAGAGGCCUGUGGUUUUCACAGUAGAGCUUGGAGCAGAGAUGCUAGGCCCCUAUCACUUCCAUAUGUGCCCUGGACACCUCUAAGAUCAUAGGACUGGCCUAGCCCCCAAUACCAGACACUGCCCAGCCCCCUGAUAGCCCAGAGGUAGGGCCAGAGACAACUCUCCUGCAUGUGAUGCCUACAGCUGAUCACCCUUGGCAGACAGUGAACAUCACGGCCCAGAAGGAGCCAGGGCAGCACUUGGCAAGCUGCCCCAAAGCCCCAGAGAGCUCCUUAGACAUGGAAAGUCAAUACUGAUGGGGAAGCUGGACACUUGGAGGCCACUGGAGGGAGGGGUGAGCAUGGUGUCCCCACAGCCCAGGCCACCCAGCAGCAUGCCCUGCAUCCAUGGUCCCAACCUGUAGGGCAGAACCCCCCUCUCAACGCACAAUUCCUAGACCCAGAGGGCCCUAGCCCAGACUCAACCUGAGCCCUGAAAGGGAAGGGGCACCAGGGGUGCCUUGGGGCCUCCAGCAGCAGCCAAGAUACACAGGAGAUGGAGCCCCCUGUGGCCCUGGCCAGAACUAGUAUUUGGCUUAAGGCGGAGCAAGCCCCCUUGGAGCACUGCGUACAUACCCGGGGCCUAUGUGUGCCUGGCAAGGCCAAGCUGAUGAUGUUACCAAGCUCAAACUACCACUGGCCACCUUGGUGAGGGUGGGGCAGAAACACGUGGACCAGCCACCAACCUCAUCCAUUCAAGGAAGCAGAAAUGGUCAGGCUCCUGCAGGAUAAGUGGCCACCACCAGACCACCAAUGGGGCAGAGUUCUGAGGCCCAAGGAGAUGGCACUGGGGCCCUGCUUCCAGGGUCCACAAUCUGCUCCAGGACACAAGACUGAAGAAAACUAAGCAAAUGAGAGUCCAGGAGGCUGGAUCCCUCAUCUGCCAUUCUUGGCAGUUGCAUUUUGUGGUCAGAAAAAGUCAGGAAACUUGGCUCUACUCACUGCAGGAGGCUCCAAGGUGGGACCAGAGCUUCCAGCAUAGAUUCAACAAUGCCUAAGAAUGCCUCUUCUUGGGGAAAAGGACCCCUUCCUUGGCCUCAAAGCCCCCACUUAUUUUGAUUAAAGCACAAUAAAGUCUUUGUUGUUA